UCCCCCAGCAGAGACAACAAGUCCUGGGCGGUCUGACUUUAAGACGGAUGUGACUGGACAGGGCCAGGCUGCACGGCACCGAACCCGUCCCGGUCCUUGCGUUUUGGCCCUCCGACCCUCCUUCUGCUUGAAGGCAAGACUCUGACCCUGGACAGGCCGGCAGAUGGGUCAGGAGAAACUGGAGGCUGAGAUAGGGUGAGGCUUCCAGCUCAGGGAAGAGUCAGCUGAGCGGCUGGAAGGUGGGGGGCUGGACAGAGGCCUCUCCAGGAACUCUCCAGGCUCCCUUGCUACAGCAGGGCAGGGCUAUACAAGAGGGAGGGGCUGACGGUGCCAGAGCCCCAGGGAGCUGGAAUUCUUGGCCCCCAGCUCUGGUCUCUGCCCUGAGCGGCUGUGUGUGUCUCACACGCAGUCCCUCCCUCUGCGAUGUGCCUGCCUCGCGCCAGCACCAAAGGGGGCUAAAUCCUCGGAGAGGCUGUUUUCCUACGGCUUCUCCUUUCAAAGCUGCCCAAAGAACACGCUUCCCCAAUGUUCUUCUUUACAUUUUGCCUACAUAUUUUUACAGCCAAACAGUGCUUUCAAAGACUUCCUUUUUUCAUCUCCUAAUUAAUUUUUAUCUUCCCAGACGGAGGGAGGACAGCACAGGAGACGCUGUUUGUGAUGUCUGCUGCUCCCCGACAACUCUUCAAAUGCAAUUUCCUUUGGAAUGCCGGGGCGCCUUGAGCCGCCCCGUCUCCCAGGCUGCAGGCGACAGCGUCCGCUCAACGUGUAUCGCUUGAACAACGACGCGGGAUGCAGUGGGACCGUGUGGACUGGGGAUACGCACUGGCUGCAGCUCUGCUCUUCCCCAACCGAAUCCCAGACCGUGGCUGACUCCUUAGAGAAGCCGCAUGCACACAGCGACAGAGAGCACGGCCCCUGGUGCCAGACCGCAGGGGUUCAAAUCCCGGCUCUACAUUUCAUUAGCUGUUGAUCUUAGGCAAGUCCGUGUGAACUCAGGCCACUUUUGAGCCUGCUUUCCUCAGGGGUAGAAUGGGAGAUGAUCACAAUGGUCUCUACCUUCCAGAGUUGUGAGGAGGACACACACGGAUACAGGCCAAGUGCAUGGAAUGUUGCCCGGCACCCAGUGAGUGCUUGAUAAAUGUUACUAUUAUCGUCGACCUUG